GAGUGGCGAACGGGUGAGUAAUAUAUCGGAACGUACCUUAUUGUGGGGGAUAACGCAGCGAAAGCUGUGCUAAUACCGCAUAAUCCCUUAGGGGGAAAGCGGGGGACCGUAAGGCCUCGCGCAAUUAGAGCGGCCGAUACCUGAUUAGCUAGUUGGUGAGGUAAAAGCUCACCAAGGCGAUAAUCAAUAGCUGAUUUGAGAGGAUGAUCAGCCACACUGGGACUGAGAUACGGCCCAGACUCC
rnacentral:rRNA from 1 species